GGCCCCUUCGGGGGUACACGAGUGGCGAACGGGUGAGUAACACGUGGGUAAUCUGCCCUGCACUUCGGGAUAAGCCUGGGAAACCGGGUCUAAUACCGGAUAUGAGCUCCUGCCGCAUGGUGGGGGUUGGAAAGUUUUUCGGUGCAGGAUGAGUCCGCGGCCUAUCAGCUUGUUGGUGGGGUAAUGGCCUACCAAGGCGACGACGGGUAGCCGGCCUGAGAGGGUGAUCGGCCACACUGGGACUGAGACACGGCCCAGACUCCUACGGGAGGCAGCAGUGGGGAAUAUUGCACAAUGGGCGGAAGCCUGAUGCAGCGACGCCGCGUGGGGGAUGACGGUCUUCGGAUUGUAAACUCCUUUCAGUAGGGACGAAGCGAGAGUGACGGUACCUGCAGAAGAAGCACCGGCCAACUACGUGCCAGCAGCCGCGGUAAUACGUAGGGUGCAAGCGUUGUCCGGAAUUACUGGGCGUAAAGAGCUCGUAGGCGGUUUGUCACGUCGUCUGUGAAAUCCUCCAGCUCAACUGGGGGCGUGCAGGCGAUACGGGCAGACUUGAGUACUACAGGGGAGACUGGAAUUCCUGGUGUAGCGGUGAAAUGCGCAGAUAUCAGGAGGAACACCGGUGGCGAAGGCGGGUCUCUGGGUAGUAACUGACGCUGAGGAGCGAAAGCAUGGGGAGCAAACAGGAUUAGAUACCCUGGUAGUCCAUGCCGUAAACGGUGGGCGCUAGGUGUGGGGUCCUUCCACGGAUUCCGUGCCGUAGCUAACGCAU
rnacentral:rRNA from 1 species